UACGUAGGGGGCAAGCGUUAUCCGGAUUCAUUGGGCGUAAAGCGCGCGUAGGCGGCUUGUUAAGCGAGGAGUGAAAUCUGGGGGCUCAACCCGCAGACUGCUUCUCGAACUGGCAGGCUUGAGUCUGGUAGAGGAAAGUGGAAUUCCUGGUGUAGCGGUGAAAUGCGCAGAUAUCAGGAGGAACACCAGUGGCGAAGGCGGCUUUCUGGGCCACGACUGACGCUGAGGCGCGAAAGCUAGGGGAGCGAACAGG
rnacentral:rRNA from 1 species